rnacentral:misc_RNA from 1 species
AAGUCGUAACAAGGUCUCCGUUGGUGAACCAGCGGAGGGAUCAUUACAGAGUUUACGCUCCAAACCCAAUGUGAACAUUUCCCUGUUUCAGCUGUUGCCUCGGCGGGCCGGGCCGGCGCCCUCGGCGCCGGACCCCCGCCGGCAGCACCAAACUCUUGAUUUAUAGCGGAAUUAUUACUCUGAGUACCAAUACAAACAAGUAAAAACUUUCAACAACGGAUCUCUUGGUUCUGGCAUCGAUGAAGAACGCAGCGAAAUGCGAUAAGUAAUGUGAAUUGCAGAAUUCAGUGAACCAUCGAAUCUUUGAACGCACAUUGCGCCCGGCAGUAAUCUGCCGGGCAUGCCUGUUCGAGCGUCAUUUCAGCCCUCGAGCCCCCGGCUCGGUGUUGGGGCACUGCGGAUCGCCUCCCUGAGGACCCGCAGGCCCCGAAAUGUAGUGGCGGUCCCGCCGCGGCGUCCCCUGCGUAGUAGUGUCUAUUUUUAAACAGUCUCGCAUCGGUCCCCGGCAGCGACCAGCCGUCAAACCCCCCCUUCUUUUACAGAUGGUUUGACCUCGAAUCAGGUAGGGUUACCCGCUGAACUUAAGCAUAUCAAUAAGCGGAGGAA